rnacentral:rRNA from 1 species
AUUGAACGCUGGCGGCAUGCCUUACACAUGCAAGUCGAACGGUAACAGGUCUUCGGAUGCUGACGAGUGGCGAACGGGUGAGUAAUACAUCGGAACGUGCCCGAGAGUGGGGGAUAACGAGGCGAAAGCUUUGCUAAUACCGCAUAAGAUCUCAGGAUGAAAGCAGGGGACCGCAAGGCCUUGCGCUCACGGAGCGGCCGAUGGCAGAUUAGGUAGUUGGUGGGAUAAAAGCUUACCAAGCCGACGAUCUGUAGCUGGUCUGAGAGGACGACCAGCCACACUGGGACUGAGACACAGCCCAGACUCCUACGGGAGGCAGCAGUGGGGAAUUUUGGACAAUGGGCGCAAGCCUGAUCCAGCCAUGCCGCGUGCAGGAUGAAGGCCUUCGAGUUGUAAACUGCUUUUGUACGGAACGAAAAGACUCCUUCUAAUAAAGGGGGUCCAUGACGGUACCGUAAGAAUAAGCACCGGCUAACUACGUGCCAGCAGCCGCUGUAAAAC